rnacentral:rRNA from 1 species
AGCGAACGCUGGCGGCAGGCUUAACACAUGCAAGUCGAACGGUCCUUCGGGAUAGUGGCGGACGGGUGAGUAACACGUGGGAACGUACCCUUAGGUUCGGAAUAACACAGGGAAACUUGUGCUAAUACCGGCUAAGCCCUUCGGGGGAAAGAUUUAUCGCCUUUGGAGCGGCCCGCGUCUGAUUAGCUUGUUGGUGCGGUAAUGGCUCACCAAGGCUACGAUCAGUAGCUGGUCUGAGAGGAUGGCCAGCCACACUGGGACUGAGACACGGACCAGACUCCUACGGGAGGCAGCAGUGGGGAAUCUUGCGCAAUGGGCGAAAGCCUGACGCAGCCAUGCCGCGUGGAUGAUGAAGGUCUUAGGAUUGUAAAAUCCUUUCACCGGGGACGAUAAUGACGGUACCCGGAGAAGAAGCCCCGGCUAACUUCGUGCCAGCCGCCGCCGUAA